rnacentral:rRNA from 1 species
AACUGCCGAGGUCCAGGUUAGCCUCGGACAGUCAAAGAACGUGUGUGCCUUCCAAAGACACACUGUCCCAAUGUUAUCUUUCUUUCUAAAACAAGGAAAAAUAAAGAGUAUGUUGAGAGUUUGUGUUAUCAUUUGGGUAUGCAAAAUAUUUUAAUUUCUAUACCAGGCAAAGGAGGUGGAUUAGCUAUCUUUUGGGAUGACCUACACACUUUGGAGCUGAAAAAAUAUGGAGAACAUUUUAUUCAUAUGCACAUUUCUAGUGGUGCUGGCACAAAGUGGAGGAGCACCUUUGUCUAUGGGGAAUCAAAGGCGAGCCAAAGGUUUGUUAUGUCGGAUUUGUUAAGGCGCAUAAAACUGCUUGGGUCUAGGCUGUGGUUUAUGGUUGGUGAUUUUAACGAGGCAAUGCGGCAAAAUGAGAAUUUUUAUCGGAACAAGCGGUCUCCAAAACUCAUGACUAAUUUCCGUGAGAUUCUCUCUGAUUGUAACUUAUACGAUUUGGGUUUCCAUGGAGUUCCCUGGACUUAUAAUAAUAAGAAGGAAGGAAAUAAAAAUGUGAAGGUGCGGCUUGAUCAUGCAGUGGUGUGUCCUUAG